CACAAGCUUUCCGUAGGUGAACCUGCGGAAGGAUCAUUGUCGUGACCCUGACCAAAACAGACUGCGCACGCGUCAUCCAAUCCGUCGGCGACGGCACCGUCCGUCGCUCGGCCAAUGCCUCGACCACCUCCCCUCCUCGGAGCGGGUGGGGGCUCGGGGUAAAACAACCCACGGCGCCGAAGGCGUCAAGGAACACUGUGCCUAACCCGGGGGCAUGUCUAGCUUGCUAGCCGUCCCUCGUGUUGCAAAGCUAUUUAAUCCACACGACUCUCGGCAACGGAUAUCUCGGCUCUCGCAUCGAUGAAGAACGUAGCGAAAUGCGAUACCUGGUGUGAAUUGCAGAAUCCCGCGAACCAUCGAGUCUUUGAACGCAAGUUGCGCCCGAGGCCACUCGGCCGAGGGCACGCCUGCCUGGGCGUCACGCCAAAACACGCUCCCAACCACUCUCAACGGGAAUCGGGAUGCGGCAUCUGGUCCCUCGUCUCUCAAGGGACGGUGGACCGAAGAUUGGGCUGCCGGCGUACCGCGCCGGACACAGCGCAUGGUGGGCGUCCUCGCUUUAUCAAUGCAGUGCAUCCGGCGCGCAGCUGGCAUUAUGGCCUUUGAACGACCCAACAAACGAAGCGCACGUCGCUUCGACCGCGACCCCAGGUCAGGCGGGACUACCCGCUGAGUUUAAGCAUAUCAAUAAGCGGAGGAGGAUCCGUG
rnacentral:rRNA from 1 species